GACGAACGCUGGCGGCGUGCUUAACACAUGCAAGUCGUACGGUAAGGCCCUUUCGGGGGUACACGAGUGGCUAACGGGUGGGUAACACGUGAGUAACCUGCCCACAACUUUGUGAUAACGCUAUUAAACUGGUUCUAAUACUUGAUAGGUGCUCCUGCUGCAUGGUGGGGGUUGGUAAGCUCCGGCGGUUGUGGAGGGACGCGCGGCCUAUUAGCUUGGUGGUGGGGUAGUGGCCUACCAAGGCGGCGAUGGGUAGGCGGCCGGAGAGGGUGACCGGCCAAAUUGGGAAUGAAAAAACGCCCAGAACCCCACGGGAGGCCGCAGUGGGGAAUAUUGCAAAAUGGGGGCAAGCCCGAUGGCGCCACGCCGCGGGCGGGAUGACCGGCUUCGGGUUGUAAAACGCCUUCAGCAGGGACGAAGCUUUUUGUGACGGUAACUGCAGAAGAAGCACCGGCUAACUACGUG
rnacentral:rRNA from 1 species